CUGGACCGACCGGACCGGACCGGACUGAUAGUAGAAUAUACAGAAACACAAAGCUAGAGGAAGGUUAGGGUUAGUGGAGGUUAAUGGUUGUUAGUGGAGGUUAGUGGAGAUUAAUGGAGGUUAGUGGAGGUUAAUGGAGGUUAGUGGAGAUUAAUGGUUGUUAGUGGAGGUUAGUGGAGGUUAAUGGUUGUUAGUGGAGGUUAAUGGUUGUUAGUGGAGGUUAAUGGAGGUUAGUGGAGGUUAAUGGUUGUUAGUGGAGGUUAAUGGUUGUUAGUGGAGGUUAGUGGUUGUUAGUGGAGGUUAAUGGUUGUUAGUGGAGGUUAGUGGAGAUUAAUGGAGGUUAAUGGUUGUUAGUGGAGGUUAGUGGAGGUUAGUGGAGAUUAAUGGUUGUUAGUGGAGGUUAGUGGUUGUUAGUGGAGGUUAAUGGUUGUUAGUGGAGGUUAGUGGAGAUUAAUGGAGGUUAGUGGAGGUUAAUGGUUGUUAGUGGAGGUUAAUGGUUGUUAGUGGAGGUUAGUGGUUGUUAGUGGAGGUUAAUGGUUGUUAGUGGAGGUUAGUGGUUGUUAGUGGAGGUUAAUGGUUGUUAGUGGAGGUUAAUGGUUGUUAGUGGAGGUUAGUGGAGAUUAAUGGUUGUUAGUGGAGGUUAGUGGUUGUUAGUGGAGGUUAGUGGAGAUUAAUGGUUGUUAGUGGAGGUUAGUGGUUGUUAGUGGAGGUUAAUGGUUGUUAGUGGAGGUUAGUGGAGAUUAAUGGUUGUUAGUGGAGGUUAGUGGUUGUUAGUGGAGGUUAAUGGUUGUUAGUGGAGGUUAGUGGAGAUUAAUGGUUGUUAGUGGAGGUUAGUGGAGAUUAAUGGUUGUUAGUGGUUGUUAGUGGAGGUUAAUGGUUGUUAGUGGAGGUUAGUGGAGAUUAAUGGAGGUUAGUGGAGAUUAAUGGUUGUUAUUAGGACAACCUCACUUCCACUCAUGUUCAUGCUGAACCGUUCAGUCAGAUCAAAGUAUGGUUGGAAUAAUCAAACAAACAAGCAAGCACUUUCCUCUCGGGAUGAACGAUA